rnacentral:rRNA from 1 species
UACGGGGGGGAGCAAGCGUUGUUCGGAUUUACUGGGCGUAAAGGGCGCGUAGGCGGUCGUGACAAGUCACUUGUGAAAUCUCCGGGCUUAACCUAGGAAGUGCAUUCGAAACUUCUGAGCUGGAGUUCUGGAGAGGAAGGCGGAAUUCUCGGUGUAGAGGUGAAAUUCGUAGAUAUCGAGAGGAACACCGGUGGCGAAGGCGGCCUUCUGGACAGUGACUGACGCUGAGACGCGAAAGCGUGGGGAGCAAACAGG